rnacentral:tRNA from 1 species
ACCGCGGGAUAGUCAGCUGGUAGAGCAUCUGCCCGGUAUGCGGAGGGUCGCCGGUUCGAUUCCGGCUCGCGGCG